rnacentral:rRNA from 1 species
UACGGAGGGUGCAAGCGUUAUCCGGAUUCACUGGUUUAAAGGGUGCGUAGGUGGGCAGUUAAGUCAGUGGUGAAAUCUCCGGGCUCAACCGUGAAACUGCCUUGAUACUAUCUGUCUUGAAUAUCGUGGAGGUAAGCGGAAUAUGUCAUGUAGCGGUGAAAUGCUUAGAUAUGACAUAGAACACCAAUUGCGAAGGCAGCUUACUACCCGAAUAUUGACACUGAGGCACGAAAGCGUGGGGAUCAAACAGG